UGUGUCUGUGUGUAUGUCUGUGUGUAUGUGUGUGUGUAUCUAUGUGUAUGUCUGUGUGUAUGUGUGUGUCUGUGUGUAUGUAUGUGUGUGUGUGUGUCUGUGUGUAUUAUGUGUGUUUGUGUGUGUGUCUGUGUGUAUGUAUGUGUGUCUGUGUGUGUGUAUGUAUGUGUGUGUGUGUCUGUGUGUAUGUAUGUGUAUCUGUGUGUCUGUGUGUAUGUAUGUGUAUCUGUGUGUGUGUCUGUGUGUGUAUGUGUAUCUGUGUGUCUGUGUGUAUGUAUGUGUAUCUAUGUGUAUGUGUGUGUCUGUGUGUGUAUGUAUGUGUAUCUGUGUGUCUGUGUGUAUGUAUGUGUGUCUGUGUGUAUGUAUGUGUGUAUGUGUGUGUGUGUGUGUCUGUGUGUGUAUGUAUGUGUGUCUGUGUGUGUGUCUGUGUGUCUGUGUGUAUGUAUGUGUGUCUGUGUGUCUGUGUGUCUGUGUGUGUGUCUGUGUGUCAGUGUGUGUGUGUGUCUCUCCAGGCCCGCGUCUCGCACAGCCGCCGUGCGGACCGCAGGGCGCUG
rnacentral:lncRNA from 1 species